rnacentral:rRNA from 1 species
CGUGGAGACAGGUGGUGCAUGGCUGUCGUCAGCUCGUGUCGUGAGAUGUUGGGUUAAGUCCCGCAACGAGCGCAACCCUCACCUCCUGUUGCCAUCAGGUCAUGCUGGGCACUCUAGAGGAACUGCCCCGGUCAACGGGGAGGAAGGCGGGGAUGACGUCAAGUCAUCAUGCCCCUUACGUCCUGGGCUGCACACGUGCUACAAUGGCCGGUACAAAGGGAUGCCACACCGCGAGGUAGAGCUAAACCCAAAAAGCCGGUCUAAGUUCAGAUUGGAGUCUGCAACUCGACUCCAUGAAGGAGGAAUCGCUAGUAAUCGCGUAUCAGCACGACGCGGUGAAUACGUUCCCGGGCCUUGUACACACCGCCCGUCACACCACGAAAGCCUGCUGUACUCGAAGUCGCUGAG